rnacentral:rRNA from 1 species
ACGGGUGAGUAACACGUAGGCAACCUGCCGACAGGAUGGGGACAACAUUCCGAAAGGAAUGCUAAUACCGAAUGAAGUCACCGGAGGGCAUCCUCUGGUGAUGAAAGAUGGCCUCUGAAUAUGCUAUCACCUGUCGAUGGGCCUGCGUCUGAUUAGCCAGUUGGCGGGGUAACGGCCCACCAAAGCGACGAUCAGUAGCCGGUCUGAGAGGAUGAACGGCCACAUUGGGACUGAGACACGGCCCAAACUCCUACGGGAGGCAGCAGUAGGGAAUCUUCCGCAAUGGACGCAAGUCUGACGGAGCAACGCCGCGUGAGUGAAGAAGGAUUUCGGUUCGUAAAACUCUGUUGUUAGAGAAGAACAGCGCGUAGAGUAACUGUUAUGCGUGUGACGGUAUCUAACCAGAAAGCCACGGCUAACUACGUGCCAGCAGCCGCGGUAAUACGUAGGUGGCAAGCGUUGUCCGGAUUUAUUGGGCGUAAAGCGAGCGCAGGCGGUCAAUUAAGUCUGAUGUGAAAGCCCCCGGCUCAACCGGGGAGGGUCAUUGGAAACUGGUUGACUUGAGUGCAGAAGGGGAGAGUGGAAUUCCAUGUGUAGCGGUGAAAUGCGUAGAUAUAUGGAGGAACACUGGUGGCGAAAGCGGCUCUCUGGUCUGUAACUGACGCUGAGGCUCGAAAGCGUGGGGAGCAAACAGGAUUAGAUACCCU